AGGUAGAGCACUGAAUUUCCUAGGGGGCGUCAAAGCCUACCGAAGAAUAUCAAACUGCGAAUGCCGUACAGAUGAUUUACGGGAGUCAGACUGCACGAGAUAAGUUGGGUGGUCAAAAGGGAAAGAGCCCAGACCCGCAGCUAAGGUCCCAAAGUGCGUGUUAAGUGGAAAAGGAUGUGGGAUUUCGAAGACAACCAGGAUGUUGGCUCAGAAGCAGCCACACAUUAAAAGAGUGCGUAAUAGCUCACUGGUCGAGAGGUCCUGCGCCGAAAAUGUCCGGGGCUGAAACACGACACCGAAGCUCGGGAAUCAGAAAUGAUUGGUAGAGGAGCAUUGAAGACGGAACGAAGCCAUACCGGAAGGAGUGGUGGACUGUCUUGAAGAGAGAAUGCCGGAAUGAGUAGCGAGAGAGAAGUGGGAAUCUUCUCGGCCGAAUAUCCAAGGUUUCCAGGGUAAAGCUGAUCUGCCCUGGGUAAGUCGGGGCCUAAGGCGAGGUCGGAAGACGUAGCCGAUGGACAACAGGUUGAAAUUCCUGUACUGUGAUAUAUCAGAACUGUGGGGACACAGCGGGAAGGCAUGGGCCGGAAAAGGAAAAUCCGGUGCAAGCACCAGAGGAGUAUGGCAGGCAAAUCCGCCAUGCAAUCCGAAAGUGUGAUGCGGAGCGAACAAAAGUAGCGAAGCAUGCUUACCGGCUGUCGAGAAAAGCCGCUAUUGCGUAUAUCACACCCGUACCGUAAACCGACACAGGUGGAUGAGGAGAGAAUCCUAAGGCCGGCGGGAGAAGCAUUGUUAAGGAACUCGGCAAAAUGACCCCGUAACUUCGGGAGAAGGGGUGCUCUUGAAAAAGAGCCGCAGAGAAUUGGCCCAAGCAACUGUUUAGCAAAAACACAGGUCUAUGCAAAACCGAAAGGUGAGGUAUAUGGGCUGACGCCUGCCCGGUGCUGGAAGGUUAAGAGGAGAGGUUAUCGUAAGAGAAGCCUUGAAUUUAAGCCCCAGUAAACGGCGGCCGUAACUAUAACGGUCCUAAGGUAGCGAAAUUCCUUGUCGGGUAAGUUCCGACCCGCACGAAAGGCGUAAUGAUUUGGGCACUGUCUCGACAAUGCACCCGGUGAAAUUGAAAUACCAGUGAAGAUGCUGGUUACCUGCGCCAGGACGGAAAGACCCCAUGGAGCUUUACUCUAGCUUGAUACUGGGAUUCGGUAUUGCAUGUACAGGAUAGGUGGGAGGCU
rnacentral:rRNA from 1 species